AGCGAACGCUGGCGGCAGGCCUAACACAUGCAAGUCGAACGGACCCUUCGGGGUUAGUGGCGGACGGGUGAGUAACACGUGGGAACGUGCCUUUAGGUUCGGAAUAGCUCCUGGAAACGGGUGGUAAUGCCGCAUGUGCCCUUCGGGGGAAAGAUUUAUCGCCUUUAGAGCGGCCCGCGUCUGAUUAGCUAGUUGGUGAGGUAACGGCUCACCAAGGCGACGAUCAGUAGCUGGUCUGAGAGGAUGACCAGCCACACUGGGACUGAGACACGGCCCAGACUCCUACGGGAGGCAGCAGUGGGGAAUCUUGCGCAAUGGGCGAAAGCCUGACACAGCCAUGCCGCGUGAAUGAUGAAGGUCUUAGGAUUGUAAAAUUCUUUCACCGGGGACGAUAAUGACGGUACCCGGAGAAGAAGCCCCGGCUAACUUCGUG
rnacentral:rRNA from 1 species